AGACAUCUGUUCAAGAGAGUGUAAAAGUGAGGCUUCAUCAUUUUAGAAGCUGCUUAAGAAGCACAAAGAUCCAACUAAUUAAUAUAAAAAGUCAUUCAAAAACACUUUUCCAGUGGAGGAUGGUAUGUUCUAGUUGCUUUUUAUACAUUUUUUUUUCUAACAACAGGCACUCUAGAACACACAAAAUGCUUUAAUGCGUUCAUUAACAGAAAAUGAGCCACCAGCCUAAAUGUUUCUAUGUGUCUUCAUGGGAGCACUUGUAGUGAAAUGAGAACUCAUUUUCAUCCCAAAAUCUCUCCCCUCAAAACAGACCCCCUAACAUCUGGACCAGAGGAAUGCCAAGGGGCUACCAUUAUCCUUUGUGCCUAAUACAAUACCUGGGAUACAGAAAAUGCGAGCUUUUCAAAAUGUCGCCCGCUGCUCCGACAAAAGGCCGGUUACGCCGUGGAACAGUACCGAAGGGCUCCGAGAGAGAGGACACCUCCCGGCAGGCCUCCGCACAAUCGCGUCCAUCCAUCCCUGCCCAGGGCCAGACCACAGCCUUUAGAUAGUCUCACUCUCGACUCCGGAAAAGAUUGCGGGGCCUCAUCCUCCCAUGCAAUUGUCAACAAAAGAGACACUAUAUCAUAAAACAGCAUCUUUUUCAACUCCGCACAAUACUUCCACGUAUAUCAAAAUUAAUACAGCCUCUAAAUUCUUCA